rnacentral:rRNA from 1 species
GAUGAACGCUGGCGGCGUGCCUAACACAUGCAAGUCGAACGAAGCCUGAUGAAGUGCUUGCACGGAUUCAUGCUUAGUGGCGGACGGGUGAGUAACGCGUGGGUAACCUGCCUUACACUGGGGGACAACAGUUGGAAACGACUGCUAAUACCGCAUAAGCGCACAGCUUCGCAUGAAGCAGUGUGAAAAACUCCGGUGGUGUAAGAUGGACCCGCGUCUGAUUAGCUAGUUGGUGAGGUAACGGCCCACCAAGGCGGCGAUCAGUAGCCGACCUGAGAGGGUGACCGGCCACAUUGGGACUGAGACACGGCCCAAACUCCUACGGGAGGCAGCAGUGGGGAAUAUUGCACAAUGGGCGAAAGCCUGAUGCAGCGACGCCGCGUGAGCGAAGAAGUAUUUCGGUAUGUAAAGCUCUAUCAGCAGGGAAGAUAAUGACGGUACCUGACUAAGAAGCUCCGGCUAAAUACGUGCCAGCCGCCGCAGUAAAAC